UACAGAGGGUGCAAGCGUUGUUCGGAAUCAUUGGGCGUAAAGGGCGUGUAGGCGGUUUGUUAAGUCAUGUGUGAAAUCCCUCGGCUCAACCGGGGAACGACGCAUGAAACUGGCAAGCUAGAGUACCAAAGAGGGGGGUGGAAUUCCCGGUGUAGCGAUGAAAUGCGUAGAUAUCGGGAGGAACACCUGUGGCGAAGGCGGCCCCCUGGUUGGAUACUGACGCUGAUACGCGAAAGCGUGGGGAGCAAACAGG
rnacentral:rRNA from 1 species